GGAAGCGUGCCUGAAUGACAAAGGACUACUUUGAUAGAGUAUACUAAAUGGGUUCAAUUCCCCUCACUUCCU
rnacentral:tRNA from 2 species